rnacentral:rRNA from 1 species
CCUACGGGUUGCACCAGUAGGGAAUCUUCCACAAUGGGCGCAAGCCUGAUGGAGCAACGCCGCGUGUGUGAUGAAGGGUUUCGGCUCGUAAAACACUGUUAUAAGAGAAGAACGGCACUGAGAGUAACUGUUCAGUGUGUGACGGUAUCUUACCAGAAAGGAACGGCUAAAUACGUGCCAGCAGCCGCGGUAAUACGUAUGUUCCAAGCGUUAUCCGGAUUUAUUGGGCGUAAAGCGAGCGCAGACGGUUAUUUAAGUCUGAAGUGAAAGCCCUCAGCUCAACUGAGGAAUGGCUUUGGAAACUGGAUGACUUGAGUGCAGUAGAGGAAAGUGGAACUCCAUGUGUAGCGGUGAAAUGCGUAGAUAUAUGGAAGAACACCAGUGGCGAAGGCGGCUUUCUGACUGUAACUGACGUUGAGGCUCGAAAGUGUGGGUAGCAAACAGGAUUAGAUACCCCCGUAGUC